rnacentral:lncRNA from 1 species
UCCAUUCAUAAAUAUCUUUUUUUAACAAUUAUGAUCGCGUUUAACCAUGGUUAAAUUCGCCCCCUUAAUGCAAAUAAGGUACCAUAACCUUUAAUUAUCAGCACAUGGUACAUUUUUGCUUUAAGGGGGCGAAUUGUAGUAUAAAAAGGGACACUCCGAACAAUAUAUAUGCUUUUGAAUAAAUUUGAAAACUUACUUGAAACUUACUUGAAAAUAUAAAAGAGCAAAAUGAGGUUGAACAUUGUUCACUGUGCUUUGUGGAUAGUUAUACUUCUGCCAUUGAACACCGGUAAAGUGUGCCUGGACUGGACCAAGAGCUGUUAUUCCGAGCGCAUAACAUGUCAUGGAAUCAUUUCCGGGUUAAAUUUAUAUAAAAUGCAAAGUUGUUCGUAUCAAUGUUGGAAUAUGGGAUAUUUACAUGGGAACUGUAUGAAAAUAAAUGAACCAAGAACAUUUAGCUGCAAAACAGAAUCUAAGCAUGCAUGGAUAUGUGUGUGCGAUCACAGCCGCCCUGGAUGGAAACAUAGACAUUGCCGAUAGGUAACGUUACUACGUAAUGAAAACUGGCAUCACGAGGAUUGGUCCUGCGGGAAACGAUUUUAAACAUGAAUCGUAAUACCUACGACAUAAAAAGAACUAAACAGAGAUUUCACGGGAUGAUUAAACUGUAAGUUUAAGAGUAAAUACAUUUUGAAAGAAAAAUACAUCGAUAGAGCGAGUAUCGAAAUGCACUAAUUGAUCUGACAUAGUUACAUACACUCUGAAACAGCGAUUUUAGGAGUCGAAUUAUUGGAUCUUUUUAAAAGGUUUUUUCUUACUUCACAUAUUCAUUGCUGCCAACUGCAUCAACUUUAUUUAUUUAUUUAUUUAUUUAUUUAUUUAUUUAUUUGCUGACCUUUCAUGUAUAUAUUGGGCUGGGGCCACUUACAUAUCAAUUGACAUUCCUGUUAUGUUUUUAAAAUACAAAUAAUUGUGGAUUUUUUAUUGUUUUUGUUUUGUUUUGUUUUGUAAAUAAACUGACCUAAACAUAAAA